UAGAGCCAGAAAAGGGAGAUAGCCACGUGCAAGCAUCUUCCCAAAUAUCUCACAAAUUAGUUAAGUUAGUGAGAGAAGCAAAAGAAGAAGAAAAAACCGUUGUUCCCCUUCAAUCAAACACAAACCAGUACUUCCACAAAAAAUCAUGUCGAUGAAUGGAACAAAUUCAUCAUUGAUCUAACCCCUUAAUUCCAAUUUUUAAGGGGGGAAAUUAUCAAUUUUGGAGUCUGAAAAUGAAAACCAUGUUUCGGUCUCAAGAAUUGUGGGAUUUGGGUGAGAAAGGUUUUGAAGACAAGCAGGAUGGAAAAGAAGUCGAUCCGACAGUUGCGGGGCAACCGAAAGAAGGACGCUAAAGCUUUGUUCUUCAUCCAACAUGCCCUUGACGAUAGCAUUUUCGCUCGGAUUGCAGCAGCAACCACAUCAAAAUAAGCUUGGGACAUUCUCAAACAGGAGUAUCUCGAAGACAAGAAGGAGGUGAUUUCUAGUGAGCCGUGAUUCGCACAGUGGCCCCCGUACUUAGGUAUUCCAGUCAAGAUCGUCUGGAGCAGAUUGAUCAUGAAGGAUCGCAGUUACAAGUCGAAAGAGCUCGAGUGUCUUCGUUUAGUCUAUUCUGACAGUUUAAUAUUUUUCAGUUGUAAAUAGACCACCUAGUAAUCGAGUUGUAAUAGUUUGAGUUUUGUAAGCCUUAGCACUUGACAAUGUGGUCAAGUGUAGCGAUGAUACCUCCGAUUUGGGGUGUUACAGUCUAGCCGUGCACUUAGAUAGGUUUCAAACGAAUUUCCUCUAGCCCACGUGUGGGAUGGGCCAAAAAAUUCUACUUCGAUCAAUUGAUUGUUUUCCACCCAAUGAUUAAAAAGAUUGGUUCUUCUAGUUGUC